AGCGUAGACGGAUGGACAAGUCUGAUGCGAAAGACUGGGGCUCAACCCCGGGACUGCAUUGGAAACUGCCCGUCUUGAGUGCCGGAGAGGUAAGCGGAAUUCCUAGUGUAGCGGUGAAAUGCGUAGAUAUUAGGAGGAACACCAGUGGCGAAGGCGGCUUACUGGACGGUAACUGACGUUGAGGCUCGAAAGCGUGGGAAGCAAACA
rnacentral:rRNA from 1 species